GGCUGGUCCAAGUGCAGUGAUGUUUACAACUAACUGAUCACAACUAGUUGCAGAUUUCUUUGUUCCUUGCCACUCCCACUGCUUCACUCGACUAGCCAUAA
ensembl:misc_RNA Y_RNA Y RNA